rnacentral:rRNA from 1 species
UACGUAGGCAGCAAGCGUUGUUCGGAGUUACUGGGCGUAAAGGGUGCGUAGGCGGCUCUAUAAGUAUGGUGUGAAAUCUCCCGGCUUAACUGGGAGGGUGCGCUAUAGACUGUGGGGCUAGAGUGUGGGGGAGGAAAGUGGAAUUCCUGGUGUAGCGGUGAAAUGCGUAGAUAUCAGGAGGAACACCGGUGGUGUAAACGGCUUUCUGGACCAUAAACUGACGCUGAGGCACGAAAGCGUGGGUAGCAAACAGG